CUGAACUCCAGUAGGGCCCAAGCCAGCCAGCCAGGAAGGAGGAGGCAGCCAGAGUGGCCACCACUGUUCUCUGCAGCAGAAGACCCCUUGCCGCCCUGCCCAACCCAGCAUUUGCCAGAUUUAAGCUAUGCCAUCGGCAAAAGGAAACCUGGAAAUGGUGGGACUGGCAAGACUCAAUGAAUAACUUAAUCUGGAUUUCAUUCACAAACGGCAGCUCACACACAGGGAAAGAGAUGGUGUGUUUCGCCAAAUCGGAACUGGACACAAUAUCCAACAUCCUAUGGUUCUGAAACAUGAAGAAACCAAAGAAAUUACGUGUAAGAGCUAUAGGAAUGGCAUAAGAGGCGAGUUUCUUCCUGCCAUCAAAAUACGAAAUGACCACUACAACCUGACUGCUGUGAUGGGAGAAGCGACCUUU